UCAAAGAAAAAUAAAUUCACUUUUAGUAAGGGCCAAAUCGGUAGUACAUGUUAUGAAUCAAGGAGGUAUAAAAUUAUUACGUCAGAUUUGUUUGUAAUUAAGCACAAAGCUAAACAAUGGGCUAUUUUUGUUCUGCCCGUCACCGGUAUCGAAACCCGAUUUCUAUCAUUGUGUCAUCUAAAUGGACGGUGAACGACCAUAUUAUGGAAUUGGCCUAAUUGUCUCUGCUGGUUUUUUCUUCGCCGUCGUUGGAGUAUUAGUCCAGUUGGCCAAAGACAGGAUAUUUAUGGACGUUAUGGGCUUAUCUCAAGUAGUCCGAAUAUUUAUUAUUUUACCUCUGAUCAUCCUAAAAAACGUAAAGUUCAACUAUGAGCGAAGAACGCUUUUGUUAACUUUUCUUCGUUGUCUUACUGGAGCGUUAGGAGAUACUUUUCUCUAUUAUUCCUACACUCUUCUUCCUGUUGGCGACGCAACUUCCAUUUAUUCUACAAAUUCAGUUUUUGCUAAUGUAUUUUCCGUUUUGAUAUUCAAACGUUCGUGUAAAUGGCCGAAUUUUGUUUCCAGCUUUCUUUGUAUUUUUGGAGUGGCUAUUAUUUCUCAACCAAGUUUUUUAUUUGCAUCAGACAAACACAUUUCCUUUAAUUACAAAGGAAUUGCUGCGGCAAUAGCUUCCUCUAUUCUGGAUUCGUUGUCUUUCAACUUUAAUAACCUUUUAGGUAAUGUUGAUCAUCUUUUCCUUACAACAAUUCUAACGAUAAAUAUGAUUCUCGUGUGGGUUUUGAGUUUAAUAAGCGAUAAACGUCUUCCUGUGUUAGGAUUUGCAGAUUGUUCCUGGACUAAUCUGUACAUCACUGCUAUAGGAUUAGCUGGUUUGUUGAGGUGUUCGUGCUAUCACACGAGGAUUUCAACUUGUCGAAGCUGGUCCAGGUAGUGUAGCUCUCUCUUCUAUCAUUGUGUUUGGUUAUAUCCUUCAACUCUUUACUCAGGACUAUUCCAUUCGAGUCGUUAGUAUUGUUGGGGCUGUACUAAUUAUCGUGGCUAUUUUUAUUUCAUCUCCGAGUUCAGUGCACGAUAAAAACAGUAUGUUCGAGAAUAUGACUGAAGACAUGAGCCAAUCAGUAAACUAUGAGGAAAACACGAAUAAUGACAUGUUUCAAGAAGCAACUGAUUCGUGUGAGCUAAAUUCAUUAAUUGAAGAAGGACUAAAAACUACCAUAUGAAGAACAUCUAUGAGAAUCAAAUUCUGGAGUUUAAUAACUUGUUUUUAUUUGUGUUACAAUGUAGAUUAUGAUAUUGUUUCUAUAAAUUGUCGAGAUCAACUUAUGAUCGAGUACAUAUUGCUUUAUUCUCUAUGGUAUUAAAAACCAACACUGUUUUCUGUGUGGAAAACAUAUUCUUUAAACUAGUAUGAUAAAUGGUGUCUUUAGUAAUUGUUGUUAAUAGAGUUAACGUCAGAUACUUUAUGUGUAGUUUACCUUUGAAUUUUAGAAAUUUUAAAACGUCAAAUAUUUUAUGUUACAUUUCUCUGUUAAUCAACGAAAUAUUUUCAUUGUAAAUUAAGGGGCAAUAAAAUAUUAUCGAGCUACUAAA